GACUUGAGAAGAAGGAUGACUGCUGGCACAGCAAUGCUUGCUAAGUUCACUGAUGCAGUUCCUUAGGUUGGUGAGGUAGAGGGGAUGCUACCAGGAACUACAGCUAGAACUGACAGGGUGUGAUGAUGAUGGAGUGGCAGACUUUGAUAAACAUAGAGUGCUGAGACAAAUAAAUGCAGCUUUUCCUCCAAAUACCUGAGAUUUUAUGUGUUGGCUCAGAACAGUGUCUUGUAUAUCACUGUACAUAAGGGAAUGCUCUGUAAAGUCACAGUCAGAAAAAUGAGUGUUGAUGGGAUUACUGAGAAUGGAAUGGAGCAUAGCAGAAAUACUGUUUCUGGUGGUAAGUUCUUCUCUGGAAUGAUUUCAAAGUUUGUUAUCCUCUCCGACAAAAACUAAUGCAGGCUAAGAAGAUGCAGAGAAGGGUGAAAUAAAAGACUGGAGAAAAAUUUUAAGAGGUUUUUUUUUUUGUUUGUUUGGAGGAAAAAAAAUCUAUUUUAGAAAGCAGUUGAUUAAGAAGGAAAGUGUUAGAAAUAUGUAAAUUAAUGAAAGGCUGAGCUAGCAUUUCUAUGCUUUUUAUUGUAUAGCUGAAGAACUUAACUGAAAGGUGGAAAACAUGAACCUACUACAGGGAAACAGCUUUUCACAUAAGGCAUAAUUGGUCCGUGGAACUCAUUUCCACUGCCUGCUACUGAAACCAAGGAACAGGCUCUAGACAGGAAUGAUUGGCUUAAAGAGCUGUUUUUCCCUUGUCUGAUUGGGAAGCAGGUGUGAUGCAAUGUGGUGAUGUCCCAGUACUGGGACAAAUGGAAAAGUCGCUGUUUGUUAUUUUGGGGCAAUUUAGGAAGUGGGUGGUAGGUUCUUAACUACUGAGACAUCCAUCAGGACCUGUGAGACUGGAAGCCAGUUUUAAUUAAGGUAAUUGUGGGGUGGGUUGGCACAAAGCAUCCGGUGCUGAUCCAGCACAGCCUGAAACUUCGAUCAGGUUUGGUCCCACAUUCAAGCUAAGAGGCCAUUGAAAUCUUGGAGUGCUGAGGAACACGGUGCAGGGACUUAACGUGGGCUUUUGUGCUCGCACACUGGACUGGAAAGAGCAUGGCUAACCCUAGCACAGGUGGUGCUGUGCUUUAACUAAGAAACCUUGCUGCACCCAAGCUGGCUCUACUUUAUAGCUUGGGUAAACCAAUACAGCGUUAACAGAUUUGACUAGUUCAUGGGUUCAGCACCCAAAGGUCCUCUGCCUCCAUCUCCCUUGUCUUGUCCCCUGACCUCUGCGUCCCCAGUUUCUCAGAGCCCUGCGUGUUCUUACCUCCCUGCUUUUGUUUUGCCCAUCUUCUUUUUUUCACAGCUACGUAGAAUAGAGCACCACAGCAUACGCUAUUGCUGAUCUGUGAAAAAGAGGAAAUGCAGUGCUUGAAAAUGGGGUGAAGUUGGGGAAUAAAUCCUAUGAGCCAAUUCAGCUGUUGGACUGUCUGUUAGCUAAUGCCUCUAGAGAGCUCAAGGAAGCUGGAGACCACAUUCAGUUACCUCUUCCUGGGAAACUUCUCCUGCUUCCUCGACCAGUACCCUACCUACCAAACCAUAAGGAAUCUAAUUAGGCUUGGAGACCCUCGGGUAGUCUGCAGAGAAUCAGAAACCCGUGGACUGCACAAUGUAUAGGAGUUGAAGGCACUCCUACACUAAUUUAAAAAUAGUAAACUGGAGCAAGGUAAGUAUCACAGAGUGAUGUGAAAAAGUACAUUGAUAGAAAAUAAGGAAUAGAAUAUGUGAUGAAGAUUGACAUCGCAAGUGAAAAAAGAAGAGAGAAAAAAAAUAACAUAAAAUAAUGGAAGGUGCAAAGUGAUCAGGGAGCACCGAGAGAGAGACAGGAAUGGAAAGUUGGUGACAGAUGAAGUUGAUAAGGCAAAGGGCCUAGAGGAAUUCCUUGCCCCAGUAAGCACAGAGGCAGCAGAAGGCAAUAUCCCAGGAACUGGGAUUUGUUUUCCUCAGGGAAGGAAGGAAAAUGUCAGAAGGUUUUACUCUUGCACUGGAGUGGAUAAUAAGGCAAUUAAUACUAUUAAAAGCUGUCAGCGCACCGAGACUGGAGUGAUAGAUCACAUCCUAGGAUUGUAAAGGGAGAGGGAGAUGCUGAAAAGCUUUUGUGGAGCAGUUGUGAUAACUUACUGAAAAGGGAAUUAUUGAGAACUGGUGAGUGUUUAAUGAAGUUCACACUGAAAAAUGAGGGAGCACCGCAAUCCCGGCAUUUACAGAUCUGUAAGCUUGACUUCACUUCUGCAGGAGAAACUAAAUACUGGUGAGUCAUGGCUGUGCACAUUUAUAAGCGGCAAAAUGAAUAUAUUAUUAAAAAUACAUUGUUUUACCAUACAUACCAUGGGAGAAGUACAUACAAUACAAAUGAUUUGGAAUCUGUUGCACAAAAGAUUUAUGCAAAUAAUCUCUGCUAAUAGGAUUUCUCAGUGCAAAUCCUUUCUUGUCAAUAUGAGAAGAGGUCUUGUCAAUGUUAUGCUCACGAUUUACCUUUCCAAAGGGUUUCUGAUGUUUCUACAGUUUCAAAUGUUGUUUUUCCCUACAUUAAUAUGUAUUAUAGAUGAGGUAACUGCUAACUGUUCGCAAAACUCUGUAAAUAUGUGAACUAUGCAGUUUAUCAUCCGCAGGUUGAAUAAGAAGGGAGAGGAAUACAAAUUCUCCGUAUGCUAUACCUCCACACACCUUCCUUCGUUGGGUCUCCACACCUUUUUAUUGCUUGAUCUCUUUUAGAUAGGAACGUGAUUCCUUUAUGAAAUAGUUUGACUGCUGCCAAUAAAAAUAAA